rnacentral:tRNA from 1 species
GCUGAUGUAGCACAGUUGAUAGUGCAGCGCACUCGUAAUGCGCAGGUCGUGGGUUUGAGUCCCAUCAUCAGCUCCA